rnacentral:piRNA from 1 species
UAUGUACCAUUUUACUUUUCC